rnacentral:rRNA from 1 species
AUGGGCUCAGCUUCAGGUGAUUCACCGGAGAAAAUUCGAGAUAUAUGCAUGACUCCUACGUCCAGUCGCACGGCCUUGCAUGCCGUGCGCGCACGCACAGAUGACAGUAGCAGGGAGCAUCUGCUGGACGUCGCCGACGGGCCCAAGAUACGGGUGCGUGGGCUGCGGCGGCGGUCGGAGGCGAGCGACGAGGAGAUCCUGCGCGGGGUGGACCUGGACGUGCCGCGCGGGGCGGUGAUGGGCGUCAUCGGCCCCAGCGGCGGCGGCAAGUCCACGCUGCUCCGCGCUCUCAACCGCCUCUGGGAGCCCGCCCCCGGCGCCGUGGCCCUCGACGGCGCCGACAUCUGCGGCAUGGACGUCCUCGCGCUCCGGCGCAAGGUCGGCAUGCUCUUCCAGCUCCCCGCCAUGUUCCACGGUACGUACCUGUACUACACAGUCACGGCCCUGCAUGCUUUGCUGCUGAAAUUCUGUGGCGGAAUUGAAAUGCUCGGAUUGGUUUCCCCAAAGCAUGAACUGAUUAGAGCUGAUCCGCUGCGAUCUUGGCUUGAUUAUUGUAUAUCGGUUGAUUAG